AGUGAACGCUGGCGGUAGGCCUAACACAUGCAAGUCGAACGGCAGCACAGUAAGAGCUUGCUCUUACGGGUGGCGAGUGGCGGACGGGUGAGGAAUACAUCGGAAUCUACUUUUUCGUGGGUGAUAACGUAGGGAAACUUACGCUAAUACCGCAUACGACCUACGGGUGAAAUCAGGGGAUCUUCGGACCUUGCGCGAUUGAAUUAGCCGAUGUCGGAUUAGCUAGUUGGCUGGGUAAAGGCCCACCAAGGCGACGAUCCGUAGCUGGUCUGAGAGGAUGAUCAGCCACACUGGAACUGAGACACGGUCCAGACGCCUACGGGAGGAAGCAGUGGGGAAUAUUGGACAAUGGGCGAAAGCCUGAUCCAGCAAUACCGCGUGGGUGAAGAAGGCCUUCGGGUUGUAAAGCCCUUUUGUUGGGAAAGAAAAGCAGCAGGUUAAUACCCCGCUGUUCUGACGGUACCCAAAGAAUAAGCACCGGCUAACUUCGUG
rnacentral:rRNA from 1 species